UCGAACGAGCGAGAGAGAGCUUGCUUUCUUGAGCGAGUGGCGAACGGGUGAGUAACGCGUGAGGAACCUGCCUCAAAGAGGGGGACAACAGUUGGAAACGACUGCUAAUACCGCAUAAGCCCACGACCCGGCAUCGGGUUGAGGGAAAAGGAGCAGUCCGCUUUGAGAUGGCCUCGCGUCCGAUUAGCUAGUUGGUGAGGUAACGGCCCACCAAGGCGACGAUCGGUAGCCGGACUGAGAGGUUGAACGGCCACAUUGGGACUGAGACACGGCCCAGACUCCUACGGGAGGCAGCAGUGGGGAAUAUUGCACAAUGGGGGAAACCCUGAUGCAGCGACGCCGCGUGGAGGAAGAAGGUCUUCGGAUUGUAAACUCCUGUUGUUGAGGAAGAUAAUGACGGUACUCAACAAGGAAGUGACGGCUAACUACGUGCCAGCAGCCGCGGUAAAACGUAGGUCACAAGCGUUGUCCGGAAUUACUGGGUGUAAAGGGAGCGCAGGCGGGAAGACAAGUUGGAAGUGAAAUCCAUGGGCUCAACCCAUGAACUGCUUUCAAAACUGUUUUUCUUGAGUAGUGCAGAGGUAGGCGGAAUUCCCGGUGUAGCGGUGGAAUGCGUAGAUAUCGGGAGGAACACCAGUGGCGAAGGCGGCCUACUGGGCACCAACUGACGCUGAGGCUCGAAAGUG
rnacentral:rRNA from 1 species